CUAAGCAUCACGCCGAGCUCCAUCCAGUAGGCGAGGGAUUCCGACCGCGGAUGGAGGCGGGGGACCCACCAGAUCCACCGACCGGAUCGGGGCCGCUUGCGGCUCCUUGGGGUGAAGCCGACGUCGUUCACCGUUGUACGACGCUGGCCGGGUGACCUCUCUGGAUGUGAUCCAACCCGAACCCGACAGCUGACCUCGUAGGCGUGUACCGAGAGGAAUU
rnacentral:sRNA from 1 species